UCCUUUCCUGGAGAGCUGCCUUCUGCUUUUCUAAGGCAGCCAACACUCCGAAAGAACUUUCCACACUAUCACCCUGUAAUGGUGAAAUUCAGUAAAGGACUCCUUCAAAUGCAUAAAGGUAUAUGUAGCAAUUUUCACGGAAAACGAAAUACCUUCACGUCCAUACUCAGUGCGGCGUAAUGUUCAGCAACUUGCACAAUUUCUUUAGCCUGCAUCCCUACAAGACUUCCAACUGCACUGGCGCUUAGACGACCCUAUCCCAUACAGAGAAGCCUGGCAAAGUAUAAAUAACAAAGGCUAACUUACCUCGUGGUCAUCGGCAACAGACAUAUUCUUCAUGAGCUCGUCUAUGCGCUUCUAGAAAUAUCGAACACUCAAAAACGCAAAUAAUAAUUAUAUUAUGCACAUGACGCCACAUCAAACAUGCUAAGUCAAUUAAUAUCAGCCAACAAGUGAACUUCAAAUUCCCAUUGAAAAGGCAUCGGCUUCUGUAGACGCGUCAUCAGUUGCUAUAGAAGGCGAUGGUGAUACUAGGGAUGAAGAUCCAUAUUCCAACAAUGUACUUUGAACCUUUUCCAUCUCAUCAUCUGGUGGGGCAUCUUUACGUUUGAAGUAACGCUGAGGUGUGUAAACUUGCUACGAGUGGUGAAAUUUAGCACAUUCAUUAUCUUCUGCAAAUGCGUAAUUCUUAUCAAACUGGCUGAUCGCAUAAGAUCUAACAAAGUCUCCCAUUUCCUCACGCAUUUCCAUAGAUCGUUUUACGAGCCACUGUAUAAUGGGAAAAAUAUGGAUGCAAUCCAAUCCUUGAAUUUGAUGAGGCUCUAUGCGAUGUGGACAGUUCAUUUUGGGAAGCAUUGCAACAAUUUUUUCGGUCAAUGCACUGCAGAAAAUAUAAUAAUAGUC